rnacentral:lncRNA from 1 species
CGAGCCAGUUGUUAAACCCUUGCCAGGGCAGUGCUGUUACUGUGUUCAAUGGUGACAUAGAGCAAAUGUCAGUCAUGUUGACUAUCUAGCUCCAGCAGACACGCCAGUAUAAAUCUCCUUCAAGGGUGCAUCUACGCAUUAAAUGUUAACAAAAACAGGCUUCUUUAAAGUCCGUCUUUGGCUUCUUCGGUGCUUGUUCUUGGAAGUGGGCUCUCCUGUGGAAUUGGGACUGCUUGAGAAGGCAGGUGAGAGCAUCCAGCAGGCACUGCUCACUCCUGUGCGAGUCUGCAGCUCUCUGGGAUCCUUGCCCCUUCCCUUACCUGCAGAGAAUGGCAGCUGCUGGAAAAAGCAUUUGCUCCCACACUCAGAAUAUCUAGCCAGAUGUUUUCUGUUGUAUUUGGACGCUCUCCUGGGAUUAGCUCAUCAGAGUGAAAGGAAGAUAAAGGCAGCUGAGGCUUGACAGUCAGCUGCCUUGUACUGCCUCCCCCUAUUUCUUCUGCAUGCCUACUUAGUGUCUUCUUGCUAGCCCCAGACAGCCUUGGUUUCUCUCUGGGGAUCCUCUAGCCCAUGCUCCUGCAGGGUCUUCCACUGGUCUUUCUACUUGUAAACACCCGUGCUCCCAAACGAAAUGACUCCUCACUUGGAGCACACCCUGCAUUCUCUUAUCUUUGUUCUUGAUAAAGCAAAUGUGUCUGGUGCUGUUGACAAUGUCUAGGGGUCUGGUUUGGUGUUCAGUGUGAACCUCGUGAACUUCAGAUUGUCCAUUGGUUGUUUUGUUUUCUCUUCUAGAAAUCUGUCUUUACCAAUGUUCUCACUGCUUGUUUUGUUUUUAAGGUUGCCUGCUCCUUCUUUUUAUAUUCAGGAAAUGUCAUAGCUGCUCAGAUGGCUUAGUGAAUAAUGUAUGGAAAGUUAUCUUUUGUCUCCAUUGUUAACUCUGUGAUUUCUGGAUGUGGCUCUUCUAUUUGCUAGUUAUUGUGUCUUUUCAUGCACAAGUUUUUUGUUUUUUGGGUUUUUGUUUUUGUUUUUUGUUUUUCUGGAAAAAUUGACAGUUCUUUACAGGCAGUUUCUAGUACUGAGCACUUUAUGUAAGCGAUAUUGUGAAGAAGAGUGAAACUUCCUGACUGCCCAGAGGCUGGUGCUCUAACUUGGAAAACCUGCUUCUGGUGGCUAUCAGGAGGAAGAGUGGAGAUGCACCUGGGAGCCAGGAUCUCUUCUCAAGACUCGGGUGACUUUCUUCUACUUACAAAGACUAAUUUCUUGGUUUAGGAAUUCAUUCUUCAUUCUCAUCUGCUGUGCACAGUUCCCACUCCUCUGUUGUGAUUGUGAGUCUCAUCUUCCAUCCCUGCCACAAAUGCUCAUGGAUACAAGAGGAAGUGAUGAAGACACAUGGUCUCAGCAAUCCCAACCCUGAAAUUUGUGUCCUUUUAUAUAAAAUAGUAUAUUUGUGGCUAUAACUUAGAAAAAUAGAGUUGAACUAUAUAGCACCAUGAACAUUUUCAGUUCAGUGGUCUGAAAAUAUAUGAUUGAUAAAAUGGGAUUAAUCACACAAAAUACCAAGAGUUUGUGAUUAGGAAACCUAACAUGGGCCUGCUUGUCUACUCCACAUUUUCCUACUUUAAACAAAAG